GACGAACGCUGGCGGCGUGCUUAACACAUGCAAGUCGAACGGAAAGGCCCUGCUUUUGUGGGGUGCUCGAGUGGCGAACGGGUGAGUAACACGUGAGUAUCCCGCCCUUGACUUUGGGAUAUCUUCAGGAAACUGCGGCUAAUACCGGAUAGGAGCUCCUGCUGCAUGGUGGGGGUCGGAAAGUUUCGGCGGUUGGGGAUAGACUCGCGGGUUAUCAGCUGGUUGGGGGAGUAGUUGCUUACGAAGGCUUCGACGGCUAGCCGGCAUGAGAGGGGGAACGGGGACAUGGGGACUGAGGGACGGAGCAGACGGGAAUGGUAGGCAGCGGGGGGAAGUAUGGCACAGUGGGGGGACGCGUGAGGCGAAGGCGCCGCGUGCGGAAAGACGGCUUUCGGGGGAUGAACCGCUGUCGCCUGUGACGAGGCGGGAGUGACGGUACUGAGUAAAGAAGCACCGGCUAACUACGUG
rnacentral:rRNA from 1 species